CCCAGGGUUAACCCCGAAGUUACCUGGAUAAGCUCAAAUCCUGCUUCGUGGUACAGGCCCCUGGUGUUAUUAAGCAAAACUAGACAGGCCAGGUUUGAACACGGCCAUGUCACCCAAUAAGCUGACACUACUGCAGGUUCAUCAGCCUCCACCUCUACCUCCAUUGGUGUCAUCCAAGAAGCUGACAGUGCUGGUCUACCUGUGCCUGUUGAAGUGGAGAGCAGUACCAUUGUGGUACCACCACACCUGUCUC